UACGAAGGGGGCUAGCGUUGCUCGGAAUCACUGGGCGUAAAGGGCGCGUAGGCGGCACGGCAAGUCGGGAGUGAAAGCCCGGGGCUCAACCCCCGGAGGGUCUUCCGAAACUGCCGGGCUAGAGUGCGGAAGAGGCAACCGGAAUUCCCAGUGUAGCGGUGAAAUGCGUAGAUAUUGGGAAGAACACCGGAGGCGAAGGCGGGUUGCUGGGCCGACACUGACGCUGAGGUGCGAAAGCGUGGGGAGCAAACAGG
rnacentral:rRNA from 1 species